GGAAGUAAAAGUCGUAACAAGGUUUCCGUAGGUGAACCUGCGGAAGGAUCAUUACUGAUUUAGCGAACCGAGCGUUAGCGAGGUUUUGCGAUCAAUUUAUAUUUAAAACCCACUCUUUAAUGUAUAAAAUUUGUAUUAAUGAUAAAUUAAAAGAUCACUUUCAACAACGGAUCUCUUGGCUCUCGCAUCGAUGAAGAACGUAGCGAAGUGCGAUAAGUAAUGUGAAUUGCAGUAUUCCGUGAAUCAUCGAAUCUUUGAACGCAAAUUGCACUUUCUGGUAUUCCGGAAAGUAUGCCUGUUUGAGGGUCAGUUAAAUAAAAAUCGGUGUUGUUGCUGCCUUUCGUGGUGACGCGUCGGAAUUGAGUUGUCUUACCUUCGGCUAAGUGACUUAAAAUUUUGCAUGAUUUUCGAACGUAUUUAAAUUUAUUUGAACGUUUGAUAUCGAAUGCUUAUUAGGUUCGGUCAUCCUCAUGACUCGCGCCUAUAAUUUUUCAUUAAAUGACCUCAAAUCAGGUAAGAAUACCCGCUGAACUUAAGCAUAUCAAUAAGCGGAGGA
rnacentral:rRNA from 1 species